rnacentral:rRNA from 1 species
AGUGAACGCUGGCGGCAGGCCUAAUACAUGCAAGUCGAACGGCAGCACAGCAGAGCUUGCUCUGUGGGUGGCGAGUGGCGGACGGGUGAGGAAUACAUGGGAAUCUGCCCAGUCGUGGGGGAUAACGUAUGGAAACGUACGCUAAUACCGCAUGCGCCCUACGGGGGAAAGUCGGGGACCGCAAGGCCUGACGCGAUUGGAUGAGCCCAUGUUCGAUUAGCUAGUUGGCGGGGUAAAGGCCCACCAAGGCGACGAUCGAUAGCUGGUCUGAGAGGAUGAUCAGCCACACUGGAACUGAGACACGGUCCAGACUCCUACGGGAGGCAGCAGUAGGGAAUAUUGGACAAUGGGGGCAACCCUGAUCCAGCCAUGCCGCGUGAGUGAAGAAGGCCCUCGGGUUGUAAAGCUCUUUUGUCCGGAAAGAAAAGCAAUCGGUUAAUACCCGGUUGUCUGACGGUACCGGAAGAAUAAGCACCGGCUAACUUCGUGCCAGC